ensembl:snRNA
UAGAAGUAUGAAUGAAGAGAAGGUCAGUACUCCCAUUUGCAAGACUGGAGGAACUCUUUUUGGGUUUACAGCACACAUAAGAACGUUUCACUCACUUUGUGGCUCCUCUAACCACAUUUA